rnacentral:rRNA from 1 species
UCGGCGUGCUUAACACAUGCAAGUCGAACGGAAAGGCCCUGCUUUUGUGGGGUGCUCGAGUGGCGAACGGGUGAGUAACACGUGAGUAACCUGCCCUUGACUUUGGGAUAACUUCAGGAAACUGGGGCUAAUACCGGAUAGGAGCUCCUGCUGCAUGGUGGGGGUCGGAAAGUUUCGGCGGUUGGGGAUGGACUCGCGGCUUAUCAGCUUGUUGGUGGGGUAGUGGCUUACCAAGGCUUUGACGGGUAGCCGGCCUGAGAGGGUGACCGGCCACAUUGGGACUGAGAUACGGCCCAGACUCCUACGGGAGGCAGCAGUGGGGAAUAUUGCACAAUGGGCGGAAGCCUGAUGCAGCAACGCCGCGUGCGGGAUGACGGCCUUCGGGUUGUAAACCGCUUUCGCCUGUGACGAAGCGUGAGUGACGGUAAUGGGUAAAGAAGCACCGGCUAACUACGUGCCAGCAGCCGCGGUGAUACGUAGGGUGCGAGCGUUGUCCGGAUUUAUUGGGCGUAAAGGGCUCGUAGGUGGUUGAUCGCGUCGGAAGUGUAAUCUUGGGGCUUAACCCUGAGCGUGCUUUCGAUACGGGUUGACUUGAGGAAGGUAGGGGAGAAUGGAAUUCCUGGUGGAGCGGUGGAAUGCGCAGAUAUCAGGAGGAACACCAGUGGCGAAGGCGGUUCUCUGGGCCUUUCCUGACGCUGAGGAGCGAAAGCGUGGGGAGCGAACAGGCUUAGAUACCCUGGUAGUCCACGCUGUAAACGGUGGGUACUAGGUGUGGGGUCCAUUCCACGGGUUCCGUGCCGUAGCUAACGCUUUAAGUACCCCGCCUGGGGAGUACGGCCGCAAGGCUAAAACUCAAAGGAAUUGACGGGGCCCCGCACAAGCGGCGGAGCAUGCGGAGUAAUUCGAUGCAACGCGUAGAACCUUACCUGGGUUUGACAUGGAUCGGGAGUGCUCAGAGAUGGGUGUGCCUCUUUUGGGGUCGGUUCACAGGUGGUGCAUGGCUGUCGUCAGCUCGUGUCGUGAGAUGUUGGGUUAAGUCCCGCAACGAGCGCAACCCUUGUUCACUGUUGCCAGCACGUUAUGGUGGGGACUCAGUGGAGACCGCCGGGGUCAACUCGGAGGAAGGUGGGGAUGACGUCAAGUCAUCAUGCCCCUUAUGUCCAGGGCUUCACGCAUGCUACAAUGGCUGGUACAGAGAGUGGCGAGCCUGUGAGGGUGAGCGAAUCUCGGAAAGCCGGUCUCAGUUCGGAUUGGGGUCUGCAACUCGACCUCAUGAAGUCGGAGUCGCUAGUAAUCGCAGAUCAGCAACGCUGCGGUGAAUACGUUCCCGGGGCUUGUACACACCGCCCGUCAAGUCAUGAAAGUUGGUAACACCCGAAGCCGGUGGCCUAACCGUUGUGGGGGAGCCGUCGAAGGUGGGACUGGUGAUUAGG